rnacentral:rRNA from 1 species
CAGUAGCCGCGGUAAUACGAAGGGUGCAAGCGUUAAUCGGAAUUACUGGGCGUAAAGCGUGCGCAGGCGGUUUGUUAAGUCUGUUGUGAAAUCCCCGGGCUCAACCUGGGAAUGGCAAUGGAUACUGGCAAGCUAGAGUGUGUCAGAGGAUGGUGGAAUUCCCGGUGUAGCGGUGAAAUGCGUAGAGAUCGGGAGGAACAUCAGUGGCGAAGGCGGCCAUCUGGGACAACACUGACGCUGAGGCACGAAAGCGUGGGGAGCAAACAGGAUUAGAUACCCCCGUAGUCCCUGUCUCUUAUAC